UUUUGGCACGCAAAAAAGAUCGAAAGCGGAUUCUCAGGGUGUUUUUGAUGCUUUCUGAACGCCAUUAACCUCGACGCACUUUUUCGCUCGAAACAAAAUGGCAAGAAAAUCAUGUGGGUCCCACGGCCUCACACUUGGAUUGGCUGCGAAAAGGAUAUGUAGAAACGAGAGUGAUGUACUGACGGGUGCGAUCAUACCAGCACUAAUGCACCGGAUCCCAUCAGAACUCCGCAGUUAAGCGUGCUUGGGCGAGAGUAGUACUAGGAUGGGUGACCUCCCGGGAAGUCCUCGUGUUGCACCCCUUUUUAUUUUUUAAUUUUUUUUAAUGCAUCCUAAGACGAGUCUAAACUUGGAAACCUCAUAACUUUUGAACCGUGAGGAACUACGUCGCCCAUAGCACCAUUUCGGAAAGCCCCAGAAACCAUAAUGGGCGGUGAAUAGGCGGCGCCAAUUUUUCGGGCUCAAAUUCAGCCGUUUUGACCCUCAAACGGGCUGCGGAAAGUUUUGGCACGCAAAAAAGAUCGAAAGCGGAUUCUCAGGGUGUUUUUGAUGCUUUCUGAACGCCAUUAACCUCGACGCACUUUUUCGCUCGAAACAAAAUGGCAAGAAAAUCAUGUGGGUCCCACGGCCUCACACUUGGAUUGGCUGCGAAAAGGAUAUGUAGAAGCGAGAGUGAUGUACUGACGGGUGCGAUCAUACCAGCACUAAUGCACCGGAUCCCAUCAGAACUCCGCAGUUAAGCGUGCUAGAGUAGUGGGUGACCUCCCGGGAAGUCCUCGUGUUGCACCCCUUUUUAUUUUUUAAUUUUUUUUAAUGCAUCCUAAGACGAGUCUAAACUUGGAAACCUCAUAACUUUUGAACCGUGAGGAACUACGUCGCCCAUAGCAC
rnacentral:lncRNA from 1 species